rnacentral:rRNA from 1 species
CUAAGCAUAUCAAUAAGCGGAGGAAAAGAAACCAACAGGGAUUCCCUUAGUAACGGCGAGGGAAGCGGCAAAAGCUCAAAUUUGAAAUCUGGCCCUUUCGGUGUCCGAGUUGUAAUUUGAAGAAGGAAGAUUUAUGGGUCUUGUCUAAGUUCCUUGGAAAAGGACAUCACAGAGGGUGAGAAUCCCGUGCGAUGAGAUUCCGUAUUGUAAUCUUCCUUCGAAGAGUCGAGUUGUUUGGGAAUGCAGCUCUAAGUGGGUGGUAAAUUCCAUCUAAAGCUAAAUAUUGGCGAGAGACCGAUAGCGAACAAGUACUGUGAAGGAAAGAUGAAAAGAACUUUGAAAAGAGAGUGAAAAAGUACGUGAAAUUGUUGAAAGGGAAGGAUUUGAGAUCAGACUUGGUAUUUUGCAACCUUACUCUCGUGGUGGGGCCCCUGCAGUUUAUCGGGCCAGCAUCAGUUUGGACGAUGGGAUAAUGACUCAGGAAUGUGAUUCUACUUCGGUGGAAAGUUAUAGCCUUUGUUGAUACCGUCUGUCUAGACUGAGGACUGCGUCUUUUGACAAGGAUGUUGGCAUAAUGAUCUUAAAUCACCCGUCUUGAAACACGGACCAAGGAGUCUAACGUCUAUGCAAGUGUUUGGGUGUUAAACCCGUACGCGUAAUGAAAGUGAACGUAGGUGAGAACUCUUUUGAGUGCAUCAUCGACCGAUCCUGAUGUCUUCGGAUGGAUUUGAGUAAGAGCAUAGCUGUUGGGACCCGAAAGAUGGUGAACUAUGCCUGAAUAGGGUGAAGCCAGAGGAAACUCUGGUGGAGGCUCGUAGCGGUUCUGACGUGCAAAUCGAUCGUCGAAUUUGGGUAUAGGGGCGAAAGACUAAUCG